UACGGGGGGAGCAAGCGUUGUUCGGAUUUACUGGGCGUAAAGGGCGCGUAGGCGGCUUGUCGCGUCGAAUGUGAAAUCUCAGGGCUCAACUCUGACAUUGCAUUCGAUACGGGCAGGCUAGAGUUCGGUAGGGGAGACUGGAAUUCCUGGUGUAGCGGUGAAAUGCGCAGAUAUCAGGAGGAACACCGGUGGCGAAGGCGGGUCUCUGGGCCGAUACUGACGCUGAGGAGCGAAAGCGUGGGGAGCGAACAGG
rnacentral:rRNA from 1 species